UGAGGAAUCUUCCACAAUGGGCGAAAGCCUGAUGGAGCAACGCCGCGUGCAGGAUGAAGGCCUUCGGGUUGUAAACUGCUUUUAUAAGUGAGGAAUAUGACGGUAACUUAUGAAUAAGGAUCGGCUAACUACGUGCCAGCAGCCGCGGUCAUACGUAGGAUCCGAGCGUUAUCCGGAGUGACUGGGCGUAAAGAGUUGCGUAGGCGGUUAUAUAAGCGAAUAGUGAAACCUGGUGGCUCAACCAUACAGACUAUUAUUCGAACUGUAUAACUCGAGAAUGGUAGAGGUAACUGGAAUUUCUUGUGUAGGAGUGAAAUCCGUAGAUAUAAGAAGGAACACCAAUGGCGUAGGCAGGUUACUGGACCAUUUCUGACGCUAAGGCACGAAAGCGUGGGGAGCGAACC
rnacentral:rRNA from 1 species